UGCAGGCGGCGCGAGGGGCGCCACCCCUCUCCCUCCACACCCGCCACGGGGACCGCGGGGCGGCCCCGAGCGCCCCUGCUUGGGGCCCGGCUCGGGGGCGCGGCUCCUCGGGUGCGGAGCGAGCGGGGAAAGGAGCCCCAGAAGCUGGGCGAGAACUCCCUCCGCCCCGCGCACACCUGCGGGCGCGCGCCGAGGCUAUGAUAUGUGGAGAUGAAUGGGGAGCUGGCGGUUGAGGGAGCACAUUGGUUUGCUAUAGAGCAGAGCAAUACAGCCACAGAACAAUACAGUGCAGGAAGGUUGCACCAGGAGGCUCGACCCAUUUGCUGUGUGACCCUGGGCAACUCACUCAGCAUCUCUGGGCCUCAGUUGCUGCAUCCACAAGAUGAAAUAUCUAAUUAUGUCAUCUCUGGCGUUCUUUCCAGCAUGCAGAUUCUACUAUGGAUAAGUCUGUGUGCUUCAUAAAUUGUUUCCGUCUCUCCAGACCCGUGAGACUGCGGAAAACUCUGCCUGGCCUGUGUCAGCACGUGCCUUCUGCUCAGUCUCUUCAUCCAGCUACUUUCAAACUGGCAAAUUCAUGGGGAAGCACAUUGACUUCAGGCUCUCAUACUCUGGGAUUUCCAGCACUCAACUCCUGGCUUCCUGGAUAGCUCUUUGAAGCCUUCUAACAGAUUUUAAUUUUCUUUUCAACCACUUUAUCUAGGUCUUCUAGUUGUUAAUUGAGAGGGUUGAUCUCUCUCUACAAGUUAGUUUGUCACAGGCAGAAGCAGAAGUCCCUUCAUACGUGAGUAAGUAAAGCAAGUAGUUAUAGAGUGGUAUGUAAAGUGGGUUCUAUUUAUAUGCAAAGUAUAUAUGUAUAUAUGUGUGUGUGUGUGUUCGUGAAGAAGAAAGAGGAAGAACAAAAGCUAUACACACUGCUUAACUUCUGAGGUUUUCAUUUUUUAACAUAAAUAUUUCCAGUUUUAUACAAUGGACACUGAGUGUGUCCAAACUGGGAUUGACUUUUGAGGUCAUUUAUACCCAUUUUGAAAAUGAGGACGUGGAGGCCAGGGACAGUUAAAUUCAUUUCAAUUCAACAAUUAUUGGAGGCUUGUUGUGGGCAGAGAACCAUGCAGUGGGCCUCAGGGUAUCCAAGGAAAAGUAAGACCCAGUUACCUAAUCCUCUGUUCAAGUGUCUCCAGUGUAUGCUAGACUUUGGGAGAUGAGGAUAAAGAUGACAAGAAUCUGCCCUCAAGAAAUGCUGGCUGUGGAGACAGUUAUCCAGAUAAACUAUCCCACAUAUGAUGUGAUAAAUGCUAAGGAAAUGACACAGCAGAGAUUGCGGUUUUUUUCUUAAUAGCUAUUCUUUCAACAUCCAACUAAAAGAUUGUAUUUCCUGGUCUCCCUUAUAAUGAGUUGUGGUCAUGUAACAAAAUUUUGGUCCAUGAGAUGUUGGAGGAAAUGUUGUGGGAGUUUCUGGGAAGUCUUUUUAAAGGGAACAGCAAAUCUUCCCUUUUUUCUGCUGCUUGGAAUUUAGAUGCAAUGUCUGGAGCUUUAGUAAUCGUUUUGAACUGUGAAGGGACCCCCAUACUACGAUGAUGGAACAGAUAAAAGUAGCCUUAGUCAUCAACACCAUGGAGCUGCUCUAUCAGCCCUGUAUUUCUAUGUUUAUACUUACUUCACACAGGAGAGAAAGAAUCAUCUUAUUUCUUAUGCCACUAUUAUUUAGGACUUUUUUUCCUACAUGCAAAUAAAGAAAGUCUCCAUUUAUACAAAUCCUAAAAAUAAAAUGUUACAGGAGCAAGGGAGUAAGUGAAGAAAGAGUGAGUAUUUCCAUUUUUGAGCAGCAAAGAAGUCAGAACAGGCAUGGAUGUUGUGAAGAGAGUUUGCCAAUGAGAUGGGCAGGGAUGAAGGAGGAAGAGUGGGCCAAGAAGGGAGCAUGGGUACAGGGUAGGGAAUGGGCUGAGGGGUGUUGGAAUCACUCAGCCUGGAUUCAAACCCCAUCACAAUCACUUUGUUGCUCUAAGCUUCAGUUUCCCCAUCUGUAAAAUGGGGGUAAUCAUAGUGUUAGCUGCAUCAGGUUGUAGUGAGGAUUACAUGAGUUAAUAUAAUGUGCCUGGUGCCUGGUGAGUGCUCAGUAAAGGCUGGCUAUUAAUGUGCAUAUCUGAAAAUUGGGAUAAUCACAGUCUGAUCUCUAAGGGCAGCCAGUCUAGAUAACACAGCACAGGGCACUACCCAGACUGGAUGCCCAGCUAUGGAGCCCCCUUUCUCCCCCUGCUGUCAGGGAAUUUACAAUCACUAUUUAAUAAAUCUUCACCAAGCCCCUGCUCUGAGCCAGGUACUGGGCCAGGAGGUUGCUGACUCCAGGAAGAAUCAGACCUUAUCCCUGACCUCCAGUUGCUCACAGUCCCGAGGAGAGGAAAGGAAAAUAAAAAGACAAACCUAAUACAGGAUGAGAAAUGCAACAGGUCCAAGUUCAGACCACGAGCUCAGGUAUAUACCUGGGAAUGCAACUGCUGGAUCAUUUUGUGACCCCAUGGACUGUAGCUCACCAGG